UCCUGGAGGAAAACAAUGAGGUCCAUGUGU
rnacentral:piRNA from 1 species